GGAGCGCCGCAGCCGCCGCGGCCAAUCCGGCGGCAGGUGGGGCCGCACCUGCGCGACAGCCCGCCGCUUCCCUCCGCUCCCUUCGCCGCGCCUCGCGUGCUAGCGGUGCCCUUGUGAGCCACUGCGUUCUCCAAGGCCAGAACGGGACAGAUGGAGAAAUUGAGAUGAGAGCUCAUCCACAAGAUUACCCAUCAAUGAGCACCAAUAGCAACCAAAUCCACUAGAAGACUGGGAGCUUUUAAGUCAAGAAACUUACAUCAGUAUCAUCAUUCCAAGAAGCGGUAUCCAAGCUGUUUUAUCGAAAGUGCGCAUGGGAGAUAAGACUCUGAGAAUUUAUAGAAACAAACAUUAGAAGGCAGGAAUGUGGAGAGAAGAAAGCUACCUGACAAGGGAAUCUCAGGAUACAAGGAAAACACCAAGAAGUCCCCAUGAGUCCCUACAGCCACAAUAAAUUGAAUUCUGCCAAAAAUCUUAAUAAGCUUGGAAGAAGACCUUCAGCUCCUGAUGAGAACCCAGCCAGAAACAAGAUGAGAACCCAGAAACAAGAUUUUCAUCUUAUUUCAACCUGAGCAGAGAACCCAGAGGAGCCCUGGCCAGAUUUUUGGUCUACAGGAUUGAGAAGACACCUGCCUGAGGGUCUUAUAGCUAAUGGACUGCAGAAGACUUGAGUCAUCAUUCAAAUUCAGUAGCCAUCCUCUGAUGUCCAGUUGAAGAUUGGUGAUUCCAGAAUAGCUCGCAUUGCCCCAGUUGACUUGCCACACAGCUUCUUUCAGGACUUGAAAAUGUCCUAGCCACCCCCAUCUUACCUCCUACUUCCAAUGCCUUUUAAGAUAGAAAACAAAAAACAAAACAACAAAAAAACACCAGCCACCCUUGUGGGUUAGAUAAUCCUACAUCAAGGUGAAUUCUUGAUAACCAGUUCUGUUCUUCCUUAUGUCUUGUAAACAUGCUAAUUAGAAGGAGCUUGUGUUUGAAGAUCAAGGGAGGAAGAAUUCUGAAGCCAGGGCUAGCCUUAGGGGACAUAACUCCUUCCAGUCACUUCCUGAAUUUUUUGGUACCUGGCUUUUGAGAGUCCUCCAAAGUGAGAAUUUCAUGACAUGUAACCUCUCAACACCUGCAUUUUAAAAAAUUGUCCAAAAUACCGCAGAUACCACAGAAAAGUCCAAAACUUAAGUUUUUCCCUCCACUCAGAGCAUCUUAGCAACAUACUAACCAUAAGACUCUAAGCGCUCUUACCCUCAAUGCAAUUCUCACUGAAUAUCCUGUCAGGAGAACUCUACCUCUCUUCCAUGUUAUUAAGGUUAUUGUUCUUUGCAAGGUGUACACAACACAAAUAUAUUUCUUGGUGAAUGAACUCACUCUCAAAGACUGCUGUCCUUGGGGAUAUAGCCAACAUGCCAUAUCCACAACAUAGGUCUUCUUUACAGUCCUGUUGAAACAUGUAAGAUCAGCUACUAAGUCCCUGCAUCUCAGACAGGAACUUAAUAGAGUACAUUUAAAAAAAAAAUUCAGAAGUAAUUAAAACAAAUUGCAUACAAGCCACCUGUUUAGAAAGUUCAUAAAUUUUAUGCAAUUAUUUAUCUCUUUAUUUUUUCUGAAAUCAAGAGCAGAAUGUAUCCAAGUGAAACUAAAAGAGCGAGGUCAAGGGGAAACAACACAGGGCUUGUGGAGUCAUAAAUAUGUAUUAAAGCAGCAGAGUUAAUUUUGUCCCAAGUUCCAUAUUGGCCAGGAAAAAAGAAACAAGAUCAGCAGAGUUAACAGCUCUCAACCUGAAUAUGCCUCAGAAUUUCUAGGAGGACUUAAGUAAUGAGAUUCCUGGGUUUCUACAUGGACCAACUCAAUCAAACUCUUCAGGAGACAGCUGCUGUUGUUAGACUGUGUCUCCCAAAAUUCUUGUGUUGGAAACUUAGUUCCCAAUGUAAUGAUACUGGCAGGUGUGGCCUAGUGGGGGGUGUUUAGAUCAUGAGGGCUUCAGCCUCAUGAAUGGAUUAAUGUUGAUAUCUCAGGAGUGAGUUUCCUCUUGCUCUCUGUAGCCCUCUCUCUUGCCACAUGAUGACUUCCACCAGGUUAUGACUCAACAGGAAGGCCCUCACAAGAUGUGGAACCUCAAUCUUAGACUUCUCAGCCUCCAGAAGUGAGCCAAAUAAAUUUCUGUUCAUUAUAC
rnacentral:lncRNA from 1 species